AGAACAAUAAGACACUGAAGUGUCAGAAUUUCAAUUAAAAAAACUGGAGAAACGGGGCCACAUCGAGUUACAUCCACUACUUGUCAAGAUCAUAGACACACCUCAGUUUCAGAGACCACGAAACAUCAAGCAGCUUGGGGGUGGUUACUUUCCAGGAGCGUCGCGCAACCACUUUGAACACUCAAUAGGGAAGUGGCAAACCUGUAUGACAUGUUCCACACAAGGAACUCUCUCCACAGAAGAGCGUACCAGCACAGAGUAACCAAGAGUGUAGAAAUUAUGAUCAAAGAUGCCCUCUUUGAUGCCCUAAAGGUUCAGGAGGGACAACGCUCUGUCUCUCCAAAGCUAAAACUGAUAUGGAAGUCAACACAAAGCUGACAGUGGAAAACAUGCUCUACAUAUUUCCUUUUAAACCAUACUAAAAUGUCUAUACAUACAUGUUCUGUCAAAUUAUUUGUCUAACUUUGAAAUAAUCCUACUUUCUGAGUGAUUUUAAGUAUUUUCAGCGCAGAAUGUCCAAACGACUGAGAUAUUAAAAAAAUAUGAUAGUAAUUAUAAUAAUAAAUCAUUGAUCAUGUCUUGAGACCUGUACCAG